GUGAACCUGCGGAAGGAUCAUUAACGAAUAACUAUGGUGUUGGUUGUGGCUGGCUCCUCGGAGCAAUGUGCACGCCCGCCAUUUUUAUCUUUCCACCUGUGCACCGACUGUAGGUCUGGAUACCUCUCGCCUCCGGGCGGAUGCGAGGGUUGCUCGAGAGGGCUUCCCUUGAACUUCCAGGCUCUACGUCUUUUUACACACCCCAAUAGUAUGAUGCAGAAUGUAGUCAAUGGGCUUCUCAGCCUAUAAAACACUAUACAACUUUCAGCAACGGAUCUCUUGGCUCUCGCAUCGAUGAAGAACGCAGCGAAAUGCGAUAAGUAAUGUGAAUUGCAGAAUUCAGUGAAUCAUCGAAUCUUUGAACGCACCUUGCGCUCCUUGGUAUUCCGAGGAGCAUGCCUGUUUGAGUGUCAUUAAAUUCUCAACCUCACCAGUUUUCUGAACUGACUGGGGCUUGGAUGUGGGGGUUUGUGCAGGCUGCCUCACGGCGGUCUGCUCCCCUGAAAUGCAUUAGCGAGGUUCAUGCUGGACCUCCGUCUAUUGGUGUGAUAAUUAUCUACGCCGUGGACGAGGAUACAGACUCGCUUCUAAUCGUCCGCGAGGACAAUACCUUGACAAUUUGACCUCAAAUCAGGUAGGACUACCCGCUGAACUUAAGCAUAUCAAUAAGCGGAGGAAAAGAAACUAACAAGGAUUCCCCUAGUAACUGCGAGUGAAGCGGGAAAGAGCUCAAAUUUAAAAUCUGGCGGUCCUUGGCCGUGACGAGUU
rnacentral:rRNA from 1 species